rnacentral:sRNA from 1 species
UGAGAACCUGCGCUCAGGUUCGAGCCGAGUGAAACGAGACAACAACGCGCUAGCGUUGACCCCGAAGGGGCGAGGCCAAA